rnacentral:rRNA from 1 species
CGCGCGAUACAGGGUGACAGCCCCGUACACAAAAAUGCACAUAUUGUGAGCUCGAUGAGUAGGGCGGGACACGUGGUAUCCUGUCUGAAUAUGGGGGGACCAUCCUCCAAGGCUAAAUACUCCUGACUGACCGAUAGUGAACCAGUACCGUGAGGGAAAGGCGAAAAGAACCCCGGCGAGGGGAGUGAAAAAGAACCUGAAACCGUGUACGUACAAGCAGUGGGAGCACGCUUAGGCGUGUGACUGCGUACCUUUUGUAUAAUGGGUCAGCGACUUAUAUUCUGUAGCAAGGUUAACCGAAUAGGGGAGCCGAAGGGAAACCGAGUCUUAACUGGGCGUUAAGUUGCAGGGUAUAGACCCGAAACCCGGUGAUCUAGCCAUGGGCAGGUUGAAGGUUGGGUAACACUAACUGGAGGACCGAACCGACUAAUGUUGAAAAAUUAGCGGAUGACUUGUGGCUGGGGGUGAAAGGCCAAUCAAACCGGGAGAUAGCUGGUUCUCCCCGAAAGCUAUUUAGGUAGCGCCUCGUGAAUUCAUCUCCGGGGGUAGAGCACUGUUUCGGCAAGGGGGUCAUCCCGACUUACCAACCCGAUGCAAACUGCGAAUACCGGAGAAUGUUAUCACGGGAGACACACGGCGGGUGCUAACGUCCGUCGUGAAGAGGGAAACAACCCAGACCGCCAGCUAAGGUCCCAAAGUCAUGGUUAAGUGGGAAACGAUGUGGGAAGGCCCAGACAGCCAGGAUGUUGGCUUAGAAGCAGCCAUCAUUUAAAGAAAGCGUAAUAGCUCACUGGUCGAGUCGGCCUGCGCGGAAGAUGUAACGGGGCUAAACCAUGCACCGAAGCUGCGGCAGCGACGCUUAUGCGUUGUUGGGUAGGGGAGCGUUCUGUAAGCCUGUGAAGGUGUGCUGUGAGGCAUGCUGGAGGUAUCAGAAGUGCGAAUGCUGACAUAAGUAACGAUAAAGCGGGUGAAAAGCCCGCUCGCCGGAAGACCAAGGGUUCCUGUCCAACGUUAAUCGGGGCAGGGUGAGUCGACCCCUAAGGCGAGGCCGAAAGGCGUAGUCGAUGGGAAACAGGUUAAUAUUCCUGUACUUGGUGUUACUGCGAAGGGGGGACGGAGAAGGCUAUGUUGGCCGGGCGACGGUUGUCCCGGUUUAAGCGUGUAGGCUGGUUUUCCAGGCAAAUCCGGAAAAUCAAGGCUGAGGCGUGAUGACGAGGCACUACGGUGCUGAAGCAACAAAUGCCCUGCUUCCAGGAAAAGCCUCUAAGCAUCAGGUAACAUCAAAUCGUACCCCAAACCGACACAGGUGGUCAGGUAGAGAAUACCAAGGCGCUUGAGAGAACUCGGGUGAAGGAACUAGGCAAAAUGGUGCCGUAACUUCGGGAGAAGGCACGCUGAUAUGUAGGUGAAGCGACUUGCUCGUGGAGCUGAAAUCAGUCGAAGAUACCAGCUGGCUGCAACUGUUUAUUAAAAACACAGCACUGUGCAAACACGAAAGUGGACGUAUACGGUGUGACGCCUGCCCGGUGCCGGAAGGUUAAUUGAUGGGGUCAGCGCAAGCGAAGCUCUUGAUCGAAGCCCCGGUAAACGGCGGCCGUAACUAUAACGGUCCUAAGGUAGCGAAAUUCCUUGUCGGGUAAGUUCCGACCUGCACGAAUGGCGUAAUGAUGGCCAGGCUGUCUCCACCCGAGACUCAGUGAAAUUGAACUCGCUGUGAAGAUGCAGUGUACCCGCGGCAAGACGGAAAGACCCCGUGAACCUUUACUAUAGCUUGACACUGAACAUUGAGCCUUGAUGUGUAGGAUAGGUGGGAGGCUUAGAAGUGUGGACGCCAGUCUGCAUGGAGCCGACCUUGAAAUACCACCCUUUAAUGUUUGAUGUUCUAACGUUGACCCGUAAUCCGGGUUGCGGACAGUGUCUGGUGGGUAGUUUGACUGGGGCGGUCUCCUCCUAAAGAGUAACGGAGGAGCACGAAGGUUGGCUAAUCCUGGUCGGACAUCAGGAGGUUAGUGCAAUGGCAUAAGCCAGCUUGACUGCGAGCGUGACGGCGCGAGCAGGUGCGAAAGCAGGUCAUAGUGAUCCGGUGGUUCUGAAUGGAAGGGCCAUCGCUCAACGGAUAAAAGGUACUCCGGGGAUAACAGGCUGAUACCGCCCAAGAGUUCAUAUCGACGGCGGUGUUUGGCACCUCGAUGUCGGCUCAUCACAUCCUGGGGCUGAAGUAGGUCCCAAGGGUAUGGCUGUUCGCCAUUUAAAGUGGUACGCGAGCUGGGUUUAGAACGUCGUGAGACAGUUCGGUCCCUAUCUGCCGUGGGCGCUGGAGAACUGAGGGGGGCUGCUCCUAGUACGAGAGGACCGGAGUGGACGCAUCACUGGUGUUCGGGUUGUCAUGCCAAUGGCACUGCCCGGUAGCUAAAUGCGGAAGAGAUAAGUGCUGAAAGCAUCUAAGCACGAAACUUGCCCCGAGAUGAGUUCUCCCUGACUCCUUGAGAGUCCUGAAGGAACGUUGAAGACGACGACGUUGAUAGGCCGGGUGUGUAAGCGCAGCGAUGCGUUGAGCUAACCGGUACUAAUGAACCGUGAGG